rnacentral:tRNA from 1 species
GCAUUUGAGGUUCAGUGGUAGAAUUCUUGCCUUCCACACAGGAGACCUGGGUUCCACUCCUAGCCAAUGCA